rnacentral:rRNA from 1 species
UACAGAGGUGGCAAGCGUUGUUCGGAAUUACUGGGCGUAAAGGGCGCGUAGGCGGUCUUCUAAGUCUUGUGUGAAAUCCCUCGGCUUAACUGAGGAACUGCACGGGAUACUGGAAGACUUGAGUUCGGGAGAGGGAAGCGGAAUUCCGGGUGUAGCGGUGGAAUGCGCAGAUAUCAGGAGGAACACCGAUGGCGAAGGCAGAUCUCUGGGCCGUAACUGACGCUGAGGAGCGAAAGCGUGGGGAGCGAACAGG